GGUACGACUCUCGGCAACGGAUAUCUCGCUCUCGCAUCGACGAAGAACGUAGCGAAAUGCGAUGCGUGGUGUGAAUUGCAGAAUCUCACGAACCAUCGAGUCUUUGAACGCAAGUUGCGCCCAAGGCCAUCCGACCGAGGGCAUGCCUGCCUGGGUGUCAUGC
rnacentral:rRNA from 1 species